CCGGCGGCGGGGAGGCGGCUCCCGCCCUGGAGCUGGUGCGGCCGUCGGUGACGGAGCUGUGCCAGGUGCGCACCAACAUCCUGUGCACCGUGCCCGGCUGCGGCAAGGUGCUGCCCAACAGCCCGGCGCUCAGCAUGCACCUCAGCAAGGCGCACCGCCUGCAGGAUGGAAAAUUUAAUGCACCAAUAAGGAAGGGGUUGAAAACUCCACAGAAAUUCUACUGCUGUCCUAUCGAAGGCUGCCCUAGAGGACCAAACAGACCAUUUUCCCAAUUUUCUCUUGUGAAACAGCACUUUAUGAAGAUGCAUGCUGAAAAGAAGCACAAAUGUGAUAAAUGUAGUAACUCCUAUGGUACAGAAUGGUAUUUGAAACGGCACAUAGAGGACUGUGGCAAGACUUUCCGGUGUACUUGUGGGUGCCCGUAUGCCAGCAGGCCAGCAUUACUGUCUCAUAUUUACAGAACUGGCCACGAAAUUCCUGCGGAGCACAGGGAUCCUCCUAGUAAGAAAAGGAAAAUGGAAACCUCCGUACAUAAUCAGCAGUUGGCAGAGAAAGCAAAUAAAGCACUCAUCGAUACACAUAAUAGUAAUCCUGGCACUCAGGAAUUGGAGUCAUCUGAAGUGAAACUAGUGGCCUCUUUUGAAGGUUCCUGCAAUUCUAACUUCACGAAGCAAGUACAGCCAAAAUGUACACCGAAGAUGCUUUUGCCAAAGCCCAAGGUGGCUUUGGUUAAACUUCCAGUGAUGCAGCUCGCUCACUUGCCUGUGUAUGUGUCUGCAACAGAUUCUUCCGUCAAACCUGUUGUAGUGGCUGUUGAUAAUCAAGGUUCAGUUUUAAGUACCGUUCAUUUCUUGCCUCAGUCUGUAGGGAUUCUGAUUCCAGCACUGGAGGCAGAAACGCUUGUAUUUAAAGACACUAUGCCUGUCUCAAAAGUAACAAAUUCUGGUGAUAACGAACCAGUAAGUACUGGUGUGCAAGUUGACUUGGACAAGGUUGCACCAAAUAGCCCAGGUCAAGAACCAGGGAAUGGUUGUCAUAAGAGUAACAUUUCUUCAAUAAAUGUACAGACUGACUUAUCUUAUAUUUCACAGAACUUUGUGCCGGCUGCAGCCUGGACUCCUGAUUCUUCUGUGUCUUCUUGCUCUCAGACAGAUCUGUCAUUUAGUUCACAGGUUUCACUACCCAUCAGUGUACAAACGCAGACGCUGCUGCCUUCUUCCAAACUGACUUCAUCCAUAGCUGCUCAGACUGAUGAUUUCAGUCAGGCUUGUUUCCCUACAUGUGGCAUUUCUAGAGAGACUCAAACCAACAGAACACAGGACUCCAUUGAUGGAAGAGUGCAAAUGGACCAGGCUGUAAUGUGCGGUGACAUCUUUGACAAUGUUCAUCCAUCAUAUAAUGUUUCUACUCAGAUUGAGCUUCCAGAAAACAACUUAAUGGCUGCAAAUAUAGAUCAAGCCUUGCUGCAGAGGAGUAAUUGCAAGAGCCUCAAUCAAGAUACAGUGAAGUCUGAAUCCCUUAUCGGCUUUAAUACCCAGACUAAUAUACUUCCACCUCAAAAUACGAUGGAUAAUCAAACGCAGACAAUGGACUUGCUAAGUGAUCUGGAAAAUAUCUUUUCAGGAAACAUGUCUGGCCAGACCCUGGAUAAUCGUGGCCUUUUGUCCGAGACUAGCUCUAAUGCUGACACACAUCUGCCAUCUGGUCCAUCACAGAGCACAGGAAUAGACUUUGACAUUGAAGAGUUCUUUUCAGCAUCCAAUAUCCAAACUCAGACUGAAGAGAGUGAGCUUGGUACCCUAAACUCUGAGCCAGUUUUGGAGUCGCUGGACAUUGAAACUCAGACUGAUUUCUUAUUUUCAGAUAGUGCCACUCAAUCGUAUAGCUGCAGAGGAAAUUCUAACUUCUUAGGUUUGGAGAUGUUUGAUACGCAGACACAGACAGACUUGAAUUUCUUCUUGGACAGUAAUACCCACCUGCCUUUAGGAAGCAUUCUGAAGCAGUCUAGUUUCUCCAUGAGUACUGACUCAUCGGAUACAGAAACCCAGACAGAAGUAUAUCCUGCCACUAAAAACAUACCUAAUCAGAGCAUAGAAAGCAAAGUCCAGCUCAAUAGUGCUGAAACACAGACUAUGGACAGCUGCUUUGAGAAUCUGGGGAAUUUAUUCCUUACCAGCAACGAGACACAGACAGCAAUGGAUGACUUUCUUCUGGCUGACUUAGCCUGGAAUACAAUGGAGUCCCAGUUCAGUUCGGUAGAAACACAGACCUGUGAAGAGCUGUGCUCCUUGUUUCAGAGCUCUGACAAGCCCAGCCAUUGAGUACUGUGUCACAAAACUGUUUUGUGUGGUUUGAAAUUAAAUUAUUGGGGUGGGAGAGAGAGAGAUUGACCAAGUCACCCAUUUUGCAUUGUUGAAUGUAGUUACUGCGUGCAGAUGGCCUAAGAGACUUUUCAUGCUGAAGGUACUUUAUUGAGUGUGUAACUUCAACAUACACUAUGUGUGCAUAAAGAGGGGUGGGGGAGGGCAUAACAUUAAUGUAAGUUUGAACCUUAAACAAAAGUUUGUGGUGCCUAUGUUUUUUGCUCAGACUUUACAAAGCCGAUACUGCUUCGUUAAAACGGAAGAACUUUCCAAGGUGUCCCAUAUAUAUCUAUUUCUGGCUUAUAUAUAGGGUUCCGUUGUGCUGGACCAAAACCUGACCUGUCCAAUUCAGAUGCUUCCCUGAACUUACGGGGGAGGAUUCUCUUAGUGUAAGCUACUUCUGUUUACUUUUUUUUAGUAGCUUGUAUUUUAAAUCUGGAAUGAACAUAAUAAGCUGUAUUGUCGUCUUUUACUUCAUGCCUUCACAGUUCUUUCUCCUGUAUAAGUUUUCCAAACACCUGUCUGACAGGCUUAGAUACACGUAGACUCUUGAAUUAUUGAACAUUGAGUUUUUUUAAAAGAAAAAAUGUAGAGAGCAGUAGGUUUUUUUCCCCAGGUGGCACUGAUGCCCUUUGAAUGGUAGGAAAAUAACUUAGAAUACAUAAUUACAGAGAAAAAUAUGUUGUCCUUUUAGCUAGUGUAAUAAACGGGACUUAAAAUAUUUUUAGAGUCUUCAGGAGAGAUCUGCUUAAAUUAUUUCUGAGUGUUAGAUGCAAAUGUUAUAAUGCUUGUGCCUCAAAAACUGGAAUAAUUUGUUUUUGCUGAAGUUCCCCUAGCCUCUACCAAGAUAUGAGAUGGGAAAUGUUAUAAUGGUUUAUAUUUCCACUACCUUAACAAAAACCAUUAAAGGUGAGAAAUUAAAUUCUCUAAGAUACUCCUGCACCUACUCUACUGGUUUUGGAAUUUGGACUUCUGCUUCCAGAAACAAAGCAGACUGAGCUCUGUACAACCGAGCUGCAAGAUCAGCUCACCAAAACCCUUUGGGAAGAGGAGGUGUGUUUUGCUUUUGCACAUGGAUCUGCAGCUGGUGGUGCCUGCAGCUUUUGGAGGGUUUGCUGAGUGUAACCAAAAACUCAGACUGAUUUGUCAAGGAGAAACAUGUGACCCCUCGAUUUUAUGUUUAUUUUACCCCUGGUACCAUACUUGCAGUAGAUGCAUUUACAUGAAAAAUGUAAGCCAGUUGUGAAUGUAUGCUGGAAUUCGGCCUUAACUGAUUUUUGUCUCCUUAAAAUACUUGCAAAAUGUAGGCCUCUGGUUUUGUCCUGGGCAGGUUUUAGUUGCUGUUACCUUAAUGAAAAGCAAAACAUUUUUGUGUCAAAUUCCUGGGCCUGUAAUAGAUUUUACUCCUCUAUUAUGAGAGGAGAGUUAUUGGCUGUGUAUUUACUAGGCAGCCCACCAGUAGAUGUUCGUCUAAGCCUUAGUUUUUGAAGACUCACUACACUUUGUGUGCAGCUCCAUAUCCUCAGCUCAAGGAUGUGGGAGUUUGGUUACUCAUCCAGUGCAGCUAGCUUGUUUUGUUGAAAAUGAGCAAUACCUUCCCAUUUUAUUCUCUCUUCCCACUACUCUUUAAAUUGCCAUAGUUAAGUCAACACACUAAUAAGUAUCUCAACUGAUGCUGGAGAUCAUCUCUUCAACCUUGAAACUUCCAUUUUCCUCCUGGGGAGAGAGGAGGAAAAAAAAAAAAAAAGGCCUGAAACCAUGGAUGCAUUGCCUUUUUAGUUUUUCAGCAUUUCUAGGUGGGUGUUCAGACACUUCCAGGCACUAGCUGAAGAAACUGCAUAAAUAAAUACUGUACUUCCAAGGGAAAGUACAAGAAUUUUGCUUUGGGGAAAGUCCCACCAGUUUUCACGAGGUCUACAGCUCUAAUCUUGAGGGUGGGAUAUACUGGAAAAGGAAGACAUAGCUUUUAAUUCUUUAUUUUGUAAGGUAUGACUGAUUUGUGUUUACCUACCUGCUUUGAAAUUGAGAAAUAAGGUAAAUGACAAAACUGAGUUAAUUUAUUGCAUUGCAGUGUUUGUCUAGUCGUGUUACAUCUUUGGGCUUCAGAAGUGUUUUUCCUUUUCCGUUCUUCCCCCUGGCUGGAAUAGCAGAGAGCGCUUCUGCAUGCGGAGGCUUCUCCAUCGUCAGUGUGCGAGUUGUCUAGACUGACACGAGCUGCUAUAAAUCUGAUUCCUAGAUUACUGAGAUAAAGGGAAUUGAGAGUUGGGGAAGACUAUUUUCCCCAGCUGUAGAAGGCAGAAGUGAGAAACUUUGUUACCUCUGAAUAUAGAAAGCUGGUCUGUUUCUGCAAGAGAAGGACUGUAGUGAUGAGGAACAGAAUUAUGGAAGGCUUUGAGUUUCAGCCUUCUGAGGGACCAGCUGGCAUUUCAAGGACUUUGAAGCUAAUUUACAAAUCCAAAUGAGAAUCACCAUGUCGUUAAGGUGUAAGCCAAACCUUUUAACAUCAGUGAUUCUCAGAAAAAAAAAAGGGGGGGGGAUUUUUUGUGGACAGUCUUACAGUAUGACUGUUACUCAUUUAUUGUGUUUUGUAAUUAAAAUUAUUUAUAAGUUUGUGUUUUGUUAGAACAUGCAAAUACCAUUUCCUUUCCUCAUCAGUUUAAAAGUUUGAACUUUAAUUAGAUGAACACAAUACUACAACAUGAAGUUACUUAUUGAAAGUAUUAAAAAAUCAUUAAAUGUACCCGCAUUUUUUGUCAGUGAGCUGCUUCCCUAAAUUAAUGUAUUUUUUUCAGAAGUUUGGUUCCCCAUAAAAGAAACAAGUUUGGAUCCUACACUGGUGGCAUAUGUCCCUUAUUUUGGAUACGUUAAUUAUUUUUGUGUAAAUGCAAAGUCUAAAACAGACUGUUCAUAGUUCCUGAAUCCCACAGGAUACCUAUUGAAACCUGAUCUGAAAAAUUGUUGAUCAAUACUACUUACUCUUAAAAAUUAAACAGAUUCUUUUAAAUGGUUAAUUUUCUAUUUUGGCCAUUGUUUUCAAAAUAAAUUUCAAUCAGAACUAUUUCUUGGUAGUACUGAAAUGAUACUUAUCUCCCUUUUUCUGCAGUUUGUCUCUGAUUUGAUUUUCGAGGCACUGUCUCUAUUAGUAGGUGAACGACCAGAUGCUCUGUGACUGAAAGUUCAUCUGUGCUAUUACAGCAGCUAUAGUCACGACUGAAACGCUCUCUGUGGUGUGCCAGGCUGCUGUUUUCAGUGCCAUCAGACACUGAGGUAAGUGUGUGAGGCAGCAUUCAGCCCCAGUGGUAGCAAAAUAUAGAAGGUAUUUCCAGGGGGCAGUAUGUGGUAAGUAUCUAGAAAGUAAAUUCCCAUUCAGAGCAUUUAAAGUUAUCUUUGAAAGAGUCAGUGUAUUAGGAACUGACUACUCUUGCAGGAAUAACAGGCUAUUCCUGCUGUAGGAAUUAUAUUCUGCUUAGUUUGGGUUGAGCUAUUUCAGGCUUGUUAUUCAGAUAGAGCAGAUUUCGCCUGUGGACAAAAGUCAGCUACUUUGAACAGACUGUCCUCAUGAAACUUGCAAAGAUGGCUAGGCAGUCUGAAAGGCAGGACAAAUUCUGACUCUUGAUUAAGAACAGAUCGAGAAGAAGCCGAUAGCUGUUCAGAGAUCAGCCCCACGUGUUUUUGAACUACUUUCUUGUUUGGUGUUGCUGAGAACUUACUGUUAUUUCUGUUGGCAGUAAAAGCAUCCCCGGAUCAGUUUGUGUUUAGAUUCUGAAUUUCCUUCACUUAAAGAAAUUGCUUGUUGGCAAGCUGAUUGAUUGCAUUCUGUCAAAACAAUUGAAUUUAAGAGAGGCAGGCUCCAGGAUUUGACAAAGUGUUCUCUGGAGUCAGUCCCUUGGAAGUCUGGACCUAAGACAAAAAGACAGAAGCAUUGAUUUAGCUUUCAGGUGUUCUCUCAUUGUAUUUUUACACUGUUGUUACCAAUUCCCUUUCGCUUGUUUUGUUUUGGCACCUUGAAUGCAGGAAACACUCCCAGUUGAUCUAGCACUUAAGUUUAUUUCCUUUCCCUAAGCAGGAAUGGUUUUAUUCUUGAGAGAAUCUGCAUGUAAACAAGAAGCUGCUGUUUCCUGGGGUAGAAGAACCCAGUGUCUUCAAGGUCAUAUAACUUAAUUAUGUUAUGUUAAUUAUGUUUAUCAUGACUUAAGUGUUGUGAAUUUGUAUCUUUCUGUUCCAAUUCUUUACUUAGCAGCUUUGCUGCGUGACUUUUGUUACACCCCUUUCUUGGCAAAUCCUUCUGUUUGUCCUGAGAAGCGUGAGCAGAACAAAAUUGGCCAGUAUCCCUUUCUUCUUUAAAGCCAUUUGUUAAGGGAGCACAAUGGAAAGGUUUGCUAUGGUAGGCUAGAAAUGUUCCCCUCCUGGAAAGAUCGUUUCUUGCAGGAGAUUUGCUGGCGAUUAAAUUGCAAUUAGUUUUUAAUUGAAUCUCCUGUAAACUCGGUUGACUGGGCCAAGUCUCCAUGAGCUACUACAACCAUAUUGUAAGUAACAAUUUUGCUUACUGGUAUUUGGGGGAGUGGGGACUUGGUUUGUACCUGAGGGCAAUGAAAGGAGCAUCUCUGCCCAAGACUUUUACCUGUGAAACAAAGUACAGAAGUUCUGUAUUAGUUACUAGUGGAAAUAUAGUUUUUAGGUUCAACUUUGAACUUUUUUUUCUAUAAAGAAUGGGUUAGCUGUCUGCAGUGGCUGCAUCUUGUAAGCACUAUAAUGAACGUUUGGCUUUACUUACUGUUAACUGAUAAUGCAGUUCAUUUUUCAGUUUGCUUGCUGAAGCAGCAAUAUUUUCUGUUCUCUGAGUGGGAGAGACUAUCUUCCCUUCCUCACCGUUAUUAAUGUUAUUAAUUUCAUAGAUGCAUUUACAUUUGAAUUUUCUAUGUAGUGAAAAACAGAGGACUUGAAACAAGUAUAAGUGGACUCAAGUUACUUAUCUUGGGACUGUUUGUGAAGGAUCCUUCCACUGGAGAGCUUGUAUUUUAUAUUUAAAUAUGAAGCACAGGACUGGAAAAGACACUGCCAAAAGAGAAGUGAGAGGGAAGGGGACAAAGAAGUGAAGAAUAUGGUUUGUUAGAGGAUGUCUCUGUUCUGUCAGAAUGAGUAAUUGCAGCACUAUGAUUGAAUAACAGGUAAGACAAAAGUUACUACUACUACUACAAAAAAAGUAUGUUUCCUGGAAAUUGACAACUAAGAUCUUGACUGCAAAAAAUCAUUGCUGGAGAUUUUCAGUUACCUAGAGUUUUGAAAGAGAUGAAAGAUGCAUAUAGAUCUUAGUAGCAGCUAUAAGGAUAACUCUUCUGCAUCAAAAUAUGAAUGGAAAUUAAUAUUCCCACUUACCCUAUUUCCCUAUUUUAAAAUCACUGACUGCUCUGUUUCUUUAAUAUCACAAAAGCAUCACAUUGAAACAAAACCUUAUUGAUACAUUCUUCCCUAAGGUAUAUAUAAAUUGACUUUGCAACAUAAAAGCAACAUAAAAUAAUGUAUGAUACAGGCACUUUAUGAAAUCUAAGUAAUUUAUUAAGUAGAGGUAAUACAAAGCAUUGAUACUUACUGUCCUGUAUGAAUCUAUGUAGAGUGAAUUUCUCCUGAUGUCUCAUUUUCCAUACCUUAAGCUGAUGUAUCGUUGUGCAUACUUAUCAAAGAUCUGUUACAUGACUGCUAUAAAUGUAACUACGCUAAAACUUUUGAGGGAAAUACUGUAGUGGGGAGAUAGUAAAUUUUUGUAGCUAUUUGUUGGGCAAAAACAGUUGAAAUAGGUCAUUGACAAGAACACUGAGAAACUGUACCACUACAUUGUCAAGAUUUGAACAGAGGGAUGUCUUGUUCACUUUUUGAACAAUAAUCACAUUAUAUGUUUGUCCAAAGCAACACCUUUAGAAUUUUCCUUCUCGAUUCACAACAAAAUAGCAAACCGGUACAAAAAAAUACUACCAUUUCAGAUUGAAAUACUUAGCUUUUCUUCUUCAAGAAGAGCGAAGGAGUGCGGAAGACACCUUGAGAGCAACUUUGUGCUAUUUCUGGUAGAAGUGCUUAUUUUGUUAGCCAUUCAGUAGGUGGCACUCCCCUCCCAUACAGAGGUGCUGUAGCUUGAAAAAUCAAGUUUACUGCCCUCCAAAUGGAGGCCCUGUUCUAACCUCCAGUGCAAGGGCUCUGCACCUCAAUCUGAUACGCCGCUGUACAUGCUUAAAGAAUUGUUACACACCUGCUAUACAAAUUACUGUUCUAAAAGGUUUCUAGAUUUCCCUAAGCAAUUCCCAGAAGAAUAAUGUUAUGAGACAAAGCGAACAGCUUGGAAUUGUUACUUAACACUAGCGCUCAACUCCUGUGUUCUUCUCUGGAGGUCAUGUCACUUCAGUACUGGGGGAAGAGAGAAAACCACAUCAUCCUUCCCUUUUUUAAAGGAAUAAACACACAAUAGUUUAUUUAGGUACACAGAAUAUUUGUCAUCUUUUUUUCUUUUCUUCCUCUGAAACUACACGUCUGGAAGGUGAUUAUUCUCUAGCUGUGAUGUUUGGAUACUUGAACACAAUUAACAAGUUGAGGCCAGAAAACUGCUAAAAACUUUACAUUUAUGCACAUGCUUAAUUAGUAAAGAUAUAAAUCUAAAAAGCUAUGGAAUUCCUCAAUGUAAAGCUCUGUUUUAAACUAUAUCCUAUUGGGGUCUUGCACUGAUAUUAUCUUUCCCUACUCCGAAUCUUAAUCAAAGCAUCAGAAGAGGGGAAGGGUAAGUUGCAGUGAAUCUGUCCUGAAUGUGAAGGAACAUGCUCUUUGUGGGGAAAAAGCUGCUACAAUUGAAUUGCAGUUACUGAUGUCUCUAUGGAAAGACUGCUGGUUUUUAAUUUGCUUUUUGUUUAACACAAAAACAAAACAGAACUUGAUCUGGAAGCCCUACUUAGUAUGAUGAGAUGAAACAAGAAUACAUGAAUACACAUCUAUUAAACAGAAACAAGCAAAGAAAACAGGAUUAAAAAAUAAAUCUACUUUAAACAAGAACAAACAUUGUAAAUGACUGUCAGUCUCACCACUGUCUGCUUUCCAGAUCAUUUCUGUUUCUUCUAGGUGCCAAAUUAGCAAGGAAUGUAUGCAAACGUUUGUCUGUGAAGCUCAGUAGGAUUUAGCACUGUUUUAAGGGUAUUAUUAAAGGUCUUGCAGAGUAGAAUGUUCUUAUAGUUAGACAUUGUUUCAGUGAUCAGCAGUAUCAAAUACGUAAUUAUCACAGUAGGCUACAGUAGUCAUUCAGAGUGAAUCUAAAUGAAGAGGCUGCACUUCAUCCCCAGAAUAAGCUGUUAAAACUAAUGGAUCUAUCUUGUGGUCAGGAAGAAACUAAACCUAUGUGAAAAUAAUUGGCAUUCAUCAGCUUAUGCUAUUAAUAGCAUUUUAAAAAACUACAAAUAUCCCAGUGGCUCACAAGGAAAUUUUAUUUUUUUUCCCCAUAAGUUAACAAGGAGAAAAAAAGGCGUGAGAUUACAAUAUAGAAGUGUUAGUUCAGUCUAGGUGGCAGUUCAGCUCUUGCAGUGUGAGUGGCCUUUAGGGAAGGUAAUAGUCCAGAAAGCAGGGGAACCGCCUGCAUUUUUGAUUUGUUUCCUUCCUUGACCUCAGCAUACCUGUUCCUGGCAUUGUAGGUUAAAGAGCCUCGAAUGUCAUGUUUUGUGUAUUGUAUUCCUUUUGUGUGUGGAACCUGCGUACAAGCGUGAUGAAUGUUCUUUUUGGAAGCAAUAGGAUUAGGAAUGGUUGCAAUACUUCUGUCAGAUGUAAGAGCACAGUCCCAGGAUAACUGUUGAGGAUCUUCCUGCAGGAGGGAGACCUCUGAAUGACUUGAGAAAAAUGCUGAUGGUUCAUGAAUUUCUCCUUUUUCCUUCAUUUUAUCAUUCAUGGUGUCAGCUCCUUUUUUACCCUUUUGCUCUGUUCCUUUAGCGUCAUGACUGCAGGAAGCAAUCUCAACUGAAGUACCAUUGAGUGUGUUCAGAAGGAUAAUGGCUUGCUUGUUCUUCCAGGAAGGGU